rnacentral:lncRNA from 1 species
UAGGACAUCGUGUUCGACAUUUGUCUCCUGAAUAACAGAAUUUCACUUUAGCUUCAUCCUCGUUAUAUUUUUAUUCAUAGAAACACAAACCAUUUGUGAACCACAUCCACUGUAUGAGGUUUCUUGAGCUAACUUUUUUCAUUCACUUUUCCUAUCUACAAGUCAAAAUGUAUUAGCAUGACAUUAUAAUUAUAACAGAUGCAAAACAU